rnacentral:rRNA from 1 species
UAAUACGAAGGGACCUAGCGUAGUUCGGAAUUACUGGGCUUAAAGAGCUCGUAGGUGGUUAGAAAAGUUGAUGGUGAAAUCCCAAGGCUUAACCUUGGAACUGCCAUCAAAACUUUUUAACUAGAGUAUGAUAGAGGAAAGUGGAAUUUCUAGUGUAGAGGUGAAAUUCGUAGAUAUUAGAAAGAACACCGAUUGCGAAGGCAACUUUCUGGAUCAUUACUGACACUGAGGAGCGAAAGCAUGGGUAGCGAAGGGGAUUAGAUACCCUCGUAGUCCAUGCCGUAAACGAUGUGUGCUAGACGUUGGAAAUUUAUUUUUCAGUGUCGCAGCAAAAGCGUUAAGCACACCGCCUGGGGAGUACGACCGCAAGGUUA